rnacentral:rRNA from 1 species
GGCUUAUUGAUUUUAAUUUUAAGUCUAUCUGCCCAAUGAUUUAAUUAUUUAAUGGCUGCAGUAUAAUUGACUGUACAAAGGUAGCAUAAUCAAUUGUUUUUUAAUUGAAAACUGGAAUGAAAGAAUUAAUGAGAUAUAUACUGUCUCAUAUAUAUUUAAUUAAUUUAAAUUUUUAGUAAAAACGCUAAAAUAUAUUUAUGGGACGAUAAGACCCUAUAGAAUUUUAUAUUUAUAUUUAGAUUAAAAAUUAUUUUAAAUAUAAAUAUUUANUUGGGAGGAUUAGUAAAUUUAUCAAACUUUAUUUUAAAUAUAAACUUUGAUUUAAGAAUAAUUAUUGAUCUUGUAUUAUAAAUUAAAAGAAUAAAUUACCUUAGGGAUAACAGCGUAAUAUCUUUUUAAAGGUCAUAUUAAUAAAGAUGAUUGCGACCUCGAUGUUGAAUUAAGAUAAAUUUUAAAUGCAGAAGUUUAAUAAUUAAGUCUGUUCGACUUUUAAAAUCUU